AUCGGGGGGCGCGCGCGUGCCGCGGCCGAGGCGACACCGCACCAGGACGACGCUAGUUGUCUGCACGCCCAAUCCGCGUCGCACGGGCGUAUCUUCUGCGCAUAUUUUCCCCGGCCAAACGGAACCGCUACGCCGACGACGACUGUUGUUGUUGCUGUUGUCGCUGCUGCUGCUGCUGCUGCUGCUGCUGCUGCUGCUGCCGUUGUUUCCGGAUCGCGUUCGUAGCGGCCGUUAUAGGCGUACACACCACAGGUACCUAUAACAUUAUUACGUAUCGACGGUUAUUAUUAUUAUUAUUAUUAUUUUUAUUAGGAUUAUUGUUGUUGCCCGCCCCUGUCGAAACAACUCCGAACGCGUUGUUCGCGCGGGUUUUGUGCGCUGCCGCGGAAGUAUCGUGGAAGUGUCGUUAAUAGCGUGUCGUUCGCACCCACCGGCCGCCGCGCACACAUGUCCCGCCGAUCAUGAACCGCUGCGGCGACAGUAAGGGCGGUUCGGCGGUGGCGCGCGGCGCAGGAGACGUCGUCAUCGUCGUCGGUUCGCGGCCCGGCGUGAGUCAUAACGAUAACGUCUACUACAACGCCGGAA